rnacentral:rRNA from 1 species
AUUGAACGCUGGCGGCAUGCCUUACACAUGCAAGUCGAACGGCAGCACGGGUGCUUGCCCCUGGUGGCGAGUGGCGAACGGGUGAGUAAUACAUCGGAACAUGUCCUGUAGUGGGGGAUAGCCCGGCGAAAGCCGGAUUAAUACCGCAUACGAUCCACUGAUGAAAGCGGGGGACCUUCGGGCCUCGCGCUUUAGGGUUGGCCGAUGGCUGAUUAGCUAGUUGGUGGGGUAAAGGCCUACCAAGGCGACGAUCAGUAGCUGGUCUGAGAGGACGACCAGCCACACUGGGACUGAGACACGGCCCAGACUCCUACGGGAGGCAGCAGUGGGGAAUUUUGGACAAUGGGCGAAAGCCUGAUCCAGCAAUGCCGCGUGUGUGAAGAAGGACUUCGGGUUGUAAAGCACUUUUGUCCGGAAAGAAAUCCUUGACUCUAAUACAGUCGGGGGAUGACGGUACCGGAAGAAUAAGCACCGGCUAACUACGUG